UACGUAGGGUGCGAGCGUUAAUCGGAAUUACUGGGCGUAAAGCGUGCGCAGGCGGUUUUGUAAGCCAGAUGUGAAAGCCCCGGGCUUAACCUGGGAACGGCCGUUGAAACUGGCGAACUGGAGUGUGGCAGAGGGGGGUGGAAUUCCGCGUGUAGCAGUGAAAUGCGUAGAGAUGCGGAGGAACACCGAUGGCGAAGGCAGCCCCCUGGGCUAACACUGACGCUCAGGCACGAAAGCGUGGGGAGCAAACAGG
rnacentral:rRNA from 1 species